rnacentral:lncRNA from 1 species
CCAAAUCCUUCACAUCAGCAACCUUUUCUUUCAAUCCAAAUGUAGCCUCAUCGUCCUGUCUGGUUUCAUGUUCUUCUUCUUCUUCUUGUGUAAUUGGUGGUUUUCAAAUUACCAGGUGCAUCAUCGCCACCUACAGUACCAGCCUCUCAUUGUUACUGAGGAGACCCCUAACACUGACCUCUCUUCCCUGUUUUUUCCACCUCUACCUUUCUCUGCAGACAAUAUUCUUGAAACUUGGUACAGUUUGAGAAAGGUGCUCAAAUAUUAAUUGAGUCCCAGGUGAAAAUGGUUGUCUCCCAUGCAGCACAGAGAAAAUAAGCACGAAAGCCGACCACCCUUUACGCUUGCACCCGCUGAUUCCACCGCUGGGACGUUAUCUCAAUGAUAAGCGGAACCAGAAAGAGCGAUGGAGUCGGACCAACAGCUGCUGGCGUGCUCUCUGAAGCGGCAACCUGCCCCCAGGGAGCCCAGGCAUCUCUGGGGAGCUGCACAAAGCAGCUCCCACUCUCAGUUGGCCAGGCAAAGUUGUGCCAGAUGUGGGAGACGUACAGCUGUCAGACCGUCAUCUUUAGCCUGAACAUGACACCGUGAACAGUCAUUACUCCACCUUAAUGACUAUGACGGCCUGCUGGCUGCAGUGAGGCUCCUGUGCCAACAGAGGGCGACUGCACCUAAUCACCGCCACUCGAGGCAGCUUAGUGCGCUCCCUUCUCUCUAAUGAGAAAAUCAUGUUGGAGUGUGACUUUUUAAUUUUAAAAUGACAUUUUAAAUGUGUGCGUGUGUGUAUGUGUGUGUGUGUGUGUGUGUGUGUGUGUGUGUGAGAGAGAGAGAGAGAGAGAGAGAGAGGCAGAGACUGAGGGUCUGAGGAAGCCAGGAGCACAGAGAUGGAGGCACAGAGUGCUGAGUGCAGACCUCCUCUCUCUGCCUCUUGACUUGAGCCAUUGAUUGUUGCAGAUCAAGGCCUGUCAGUGAGAUGUCACCAUGUCCUGUGGAUCAGUGUGUGAUUCUGUGGACGUGUGUGUUGGAAGAAGAAAGCAUAAAGUGUCUUGGGGCCGAACCCUGACACCUAACUGUAAAGCCGUAGUGCUAAUUUAAUUUCCUGUGUUUUUCCAGCCUGUUGAACAUGACUGGAGCUGCGUGAUCCUGUUAAUACAGGCUGCAGGUCAACAGGCGGUCAGACCCUCAUCUCA